rnacentral:rRNA from 1 species
GACGAACGCUGGCGGCGUGCCUAAUACAUGCAAGUCGAGCGGACUAAUGGGAGCUUGCUCCCGUUAGUUAGCGGCGGACGGGUGAGUAACACUUGGGCAACCUACCUGUAAGACUGGGAUAACUUCGGGAAACCGGAGCUAAUACCGGAUGACAUAAAGGAACUCCUGUUCCUUUAUUGAAAGAUGGCUUCGGCUAUCACUUACAGAUGGGCUCGCGGCGCAUUAGCUAGUUGGGGAGGUAACGGCUCACCAAGGCGACGAUGCGUAGCCGACCUGAGAGGGUGAUCGGCCACACUGGGACUGAGACACGGCCCAGACUCCUACGGGAGGCAGCAGUAGGGAAUCUUCCGCAAUGGACGAAAGUCUGACGGAGCAACGCCGCGUGAGCGAUGAAGGCCUUCGGGUCGUAAAGCUCUGUUGUUAGGGAAGAAUAAGUGCUAGUUGAAUAAGCUGGCACCUUGACGGUACCUAACCAGAAAGCCACGGCUAACUACGUGCCAGCCGCCGCGGUAA